rnacentral:lncRNA from 1 species
GCAUGAAUAACAUUGAUUUAUUAAUUAAGAAACAAAAGGCAAAAUCCAUAACAUGGUUUGUAGAACUAGAGUAAACUUAAUGACAUGGUAUAGUGUACUUUUAUACUUAAGAAAAUUAUUCGAUAAUCAAUUUAAUAUUGUAACUGUUUUUUAAAACAACAUAGCAUAAACCCGUCGCCCAAAUCUAUGGUUCGCCCAUAUCAGUCAGGUGCCUUGCCAAAUUAUCGACCUCGCCUAUGUCAUCCGCGAUCUACUUACCUGAGAAGUAAUAGAGGAAUGGGUGAGUUUGGGGAGAACUCAGUGAAUAAUCAGAAACCAUUAGGUUAUGCUUCAAAAUAAUAUUUGCAAAUAGUAGAAAACUUAGUUUGAAAAUAUUUUGCGUGUUGUGUUCACAGGUGAGGAUGCGAGACCCAGUUCAUAUCUAAAAAACAUAUUUUCCUGAAAAUAGUUUAAAAACAAUGCAUACAAAUUUCUUAAAAACUUUCUUUAAAAAAAUGGGGCUUGCAUUAAACUUGCGAGGCCAUAUUUCUUUCAAAAAUAUUUAACAACCUGAGAUUGGGUUCGACUUUGGUCGUGAAACCAACGCGUACAUGAUUUUCAGAAAACUUUCCUUUGAAUAGGGUCUGGCUUAAGUCGCAAGACCAGUUCACACUUACGAACAGAGUCGACCUUAGGUCGCACGAUAGGUUCCUCAAUCAAAGUUUUUGUCUCAUUGAGUAUAUAAUACCCAAUCGAACUUACAGAGGGGCACACACUUUGAGACAUAUCACAUUAGCUCAUAUACAGAGCUAGGCUCACUGAGUAGCAAACUUUGUCUCGUUGAAUAUAUAAUUACCCAAUCGAACUUACAAAGGAGCACACACUUUGAGACAUAACAUGGGUGAGUACUCACACUAUUAGUAUACCAAUCAUAAGGCUCACUAAGGAGCUCACAGAAUAGAAGCUCGCACUAAGGCAAAGCUAAACAGAGACCUCACACAAAGCAGAGCUUAAAACAUUUGCUUAUAAAAAUCUCGCAUGUUAAGUACCUUUUAAAAACGCAGUUUAGAACCGUUCUUUCAAAAAAUUCUUAUAAUCAAAGGCUCGCAUAGGAGCUUGCAUAAAAUUUUACUUUAAAAAACAUCUUUUCAAAAUGAAAACUAUAGCCAUUAGCAAACAUAAUUAGAGUACCUUUUAAAACCCAUAAGCUAACGGUUACCAUUCACUCACCGGAAAUGGAGAACUUAAAUGAUUUUGGCUUUGCCUUUAUCUUUGCUAGAAGACGGUCCGGCUGGUUCACAACAAAUAAAUAUAUUACUAGAAAAACAUUCAGAAUUCACACAUGUAUACAAACUUAGCUCUAAGGACGAUCAAUCCUAACAAGACAAGGACUUACCCGGAUUGCUACGAACAAAAUUUUAGAAUAGAGACUUGACAACAGAAUAUUCAGUAAAGAUUGCCAUCGAAUUAAUGGGCUUAUUUAUAGACCUAAGAGUUCUAAAUAUCGUUGUACACUUUACCUAAUUUAGGAAAGACAUUACUUGCACGUAAAGUAUUCUUAGAUACGCUAAAUCACUUUUUCCUAAUUUGAGUCUGACUAUAUCGUUGACCAGUGAACCCAGUGCAUACUUUGAAUGGUGAACCCCAGCUUGCCAAAAGGACUGGUGAACCCUUAGCUCGCUAACACAUUAAUGAACCUAUCGCAUAGUAAAACUAAUGAACCCCUUACCAUUUUAUUUGGCGUACGCUAUAGCUCAACGAACAUCCUUGCUGAAACUUCAUUGGCGAACACCUAGCUCGCCUGAAUCUUGGAAUACUCGGUUCACCAGAACACUAGCGAACCUUACUUCGCAUGGCCAAAACUUUCGGCCUUGAUCUCGAGUUGUGAAAAUUCUCUCCCACUUAAGACAUUUCGUCUUUGAAACGUUCACCUUCGAACAAUUAUAGAUACUAUUACCUCAUUACUUUCUCAGUUUCCCAUGUUUGAAAGAUGCCUGUAAGAGUUCUUGGAGAGAGAAGAGUUGAAAGAUGAAUGUGGUAUGUGGCUAAGGCACUAAGUUGGAGGAUUUAGGGAUUUUAAAGUGUGAGGGGGUUUAAAAACCUUUAAAAACAUGCGGGUCACGAAAAUAGGACCCGUUUUUGACAUGACCCGACUUGGGUAUCGCAAUACCAAAAAAUUUUAAAAACCCUCUUCACUGAACUGCCAGUGAUGUUACGAU